UACGGGGGAGCAAGCGUUGUUCGGAUUUACUGGGCGUAAAGGGCGCGUAGGCGGUCGUGACAAGUCACUUGUGAAAUCUCCGGGCUUAACUCGGAACGGUCAAGUGAUACUGUCGGACUAGAGUACAGAAGGGCAACUGGAAUUCUCGGUGUAGCGGUGAAAUUCGUAGAUAUCGGGAGGAACACCGGUGGCGAAGGCGGCGGCCUGGGUUGACACUGACGCUGAGGCGCGAAAGCGUGGGAGCAAACAGG
rnacentral:rRNA from 1 species